rnacentral:rRNA from 1 species
CCUACGGGUGGCAGCAGUAGGGAAUAUUGCGCAAUGGAGGAAACUCUGACGGAGCGACGCCGCGUGCAGGAAGAAGGUUUUCGGAUUGUAAACUGCUUUUGACAGGGAAGAAACAAGACAGUACCUGUAAAAUAAGCUCCGGCUAACUACGUGCCAGCAGCCGCGGUAAUCAGUAGGGAGCAAGCGUUAUCCGGAUUUAGUGGGUGUAAAGGGUGCGUAGUCGGGAAGUCAAGUUUGUUGUGAAAGCCUUCGGCUUAACUGAGGAAGUGCAACCAAAACUAACUGUCUUGAGUGCUGGAGAGGAAAGUGGAAUUCCUAGUGUAGCGGUGAAAUGCGUAGAUAUUAGGAGGAACACCAGUGGCGAAGGCGGCUUUCUGGACAGUAACUGACGUUGAGGCACGAAAGUGUGGGGAGCAAACAGGAUUAGAUAUCCCGGUAGUC